AGAGUUUGAUCCUGGCUCAGGACGAACGCUGGCGGCGUGCUUAACACAUGCAAGUCGAACGGAAAGGCCCUUCGGGGUACUCGAGUGGCGAACGGGUGAGUAACACGUGGGUGAUCUGCCCUGCACUCUGGGAUAAGCCUGGGAAACUGGGUCUAAUACCGGAUAGGACCGCAUGCUUCAUGGUGUGUGGUGCAAAGCUUUUGCGGUGUGGGAUGAGCCCGCGGCCUAUCAGCUUGUUGGUGGGGUAAUGGCCUACCAAGGCGACGACGGGUAGCCGGCCUGAGAGGGUGACCGGCCACACUGGGACUGAGAUACGGCCCAGACUCCUACGGGAGGCGGCAGUGGGGAAUAUUGCACAAUGGGCGCAAGCCUGAUGCAGCGACGCCGCGUGAGGGAUGACGGCCUUCGGGUUGCAAACCUCUUUCAGUAGGGACGAAGCGAAAGUGACGGUACCUACAGAAGAAGGACCGGCCAACUACGUGCCAGCAGCCGCGGUAAUACGUAGGGUCCGAGCGUUGUCCGGAAUUACUGGGCGUAAAGAGCUCGUAGGUGGUUUGUCGCGUUGUUCGUGAAAACUCACAGCUUAACUGUGGGCGUGCGGGCGAUACGGGCAGACUAGAGUACUGCAGGGGAGACUGGAAUUCCUGGUGUAGCGGUGGAAUGCGCAGAUAUCAGGAGGAACACCGGUGGCGAAGGCGGGUCUCUGGGCAGUAACUGACGCUGAGGAGCGAAAGCGUGGGUAGCGAACAGGAUUAGAUACCCUGGUAGUCCAA
rnacentral:rRNA from 1 species